rnacentral:rRNA from 1 species
GCAAGUCGAGGGGCAGCGUGGUAUUUCGGUACUGACGGCGACCGGCGAACGGGUGCGUAACGCGUAUGUAAUCUGCCUUGUACAGGAGGAUAGGUUUUGGAAACAAAAAUUAAUACUCCAUAUAGUUGGACAUCGCAUGGUAGUCCAAUGAAAGCUCUGGCGGUACAAGAUGAACAUGCGUCCUAUUAGCUAGUUGGUAAGAUAAAAGCUUACCAAGGCAAUGAUAGGUAGGGGUUCUGAGAGGAUAAUC